ACAGAACUGGAGACGGAAGGAAACCGAAACCAGUCGGAAGCUCGGUUGCUAUUGCAGCCCCCGCCUCACAAAUAGGAAGCAGCCUUGUCUGCGCGGCGCGGAGUGUUUACUUAUAGAGCUCUAGCUCCCACAUGGAGGUCACGGCGCCAACCCGGAUCUCGCGAGAUCUACGCCGGGCUCCGCCUUAAAGAGAUUCCACAUUAGAAAAGGCAGAGGAACCAGAGAUCAAAUUGCCAACAUCCACUGGAUCAUCAAAAAAGCAAGAGAGUUCCAGAAAAACAUUUACUUCUGCUAUAUUGACUGCGCCAAAGCCUUUGACUAUGUGAAUCACAACAAACUGGAAAAUUCUUAAAAAGAUGGGACUACCGGACCACCUGACCUGCCUCCUGAGAAAUCUAUAUGCAGGUGAGGUAGCAACAGUUAAAACUGGACAUGGAACAACAGACUGGUUCCGAAUCGGGAAAGGAGUACAUCGAGGCUGUAUAUUGUCACCCUGCUUAUUUAACUUAUAUACAGAGUACAUCAUGCGAAAUGGAAGAAAAGCUAUGACCAGCCUGGACAGCAUUGCAAAGCAGAGACAUUACCUUGCCAACAAAGGUCCAUGUAGUCAAGGCUAUCGUUUUCCAGUGAUCAUGUAUGGAUGUGAGAGUUGGACUAUAAAGAAAGCUGAGUGCCAAAGAAUUGAUGCUUUUGAACUGUGGUGUUGGAGAAGACUCUUGAGAGUCCCUUGAACAGCAAGGAGAUCCAGCCAGUCCGUCCUAAAGGAAAUCAGUCCUGAAUAUUCAUUGGAAGGACUGAUGCUGAAGCUGAAACUCCAAUACUUUGGCAACCUGAGGCGAAGCACUGACUCAUUGGGAAAGACCCUGAUGCUGGGAAAGAUUGAAGGCGGGAGGAGAAGGGGACGACAGAGUGUGACAUGGUUGGAUGGCAUCACUGACAUGAUGGACAUGAGUUUGAGUAGGCUCCAGGAGUUGGUUAUGGACAGGGAAGCAUGGCUUCCUGCAGUCCAUGGAGUCACAAAGAGCUGGACAUGACUGAGCUGAACUGAACUGUAAUUGUGUUUCUCUGUCUUACUUAUUUCACUAGCACAAUACCUACCAAGUUCAUCCAUUUUGUUGCAAAUGGCAAAAUUUCAUUCCUUUUUAUGGCUGAGUAAUCUUCCACUGCAUAUAUGUAUGUAUGUGUAUAUAUAUAUAUAUAUAUAUAUAUAUAUAUACACACACACACACACACACACACACAGAUAUAUCACUCAUAUCUUCUUUAUCCAUUCAUCCGUUGAGGGACACUUAGGUUGCUUCCAUAUCUUGGCAAUUGUAUAUAAUGCUGCUAUGAACAUUGUUGAGAUGCACGUAUCUUUUUGAAUUAGUGUUUUGUUUUAAGAAAAAAAAGUUUAAGAGUGGAAUUGCUGGGUCAUAUGGUAGUUCUGGGCUUCCCUGAUCGCUCAGUGGUAAAGAAUCCACCUGCCAAUGUGGGUUCGAUCCCUGGGUUGGGAAGAUCUCCUGGAGAAGGAAAUGGCAACCCUCUCCAGUAUUCUUGCCUGAGAAAACCUAUGGACAGAGGAGCCUGGCAGUCUACAGUCCAUGGGGUCAUGAGUCAGAUACAACUUAGCAACUAAACAACAACAACAACACAUUUGUUCUAUUUUUAAUUUUUUGAGGAACUUCCAUACUGUUUUCCACAGGCCCACACUAAUUAGUUCCUUGUGGAGGAAAUAAACAUUUCAAGUACCUCAAGGGGAGAUUUUCUGUUAUAAUUCCUAAUGCUGUUUUAUCCUGUACGGGACUCUUUGUGCCUCUUGGACUUGACUAUUUCCUUUUCCUUGUUGGGGAAAUUUUCAACUAUAAUCUCUUCAAAAAUUUUCUCAUACCUUUUCUUUCUCUUUUCUUCUUCUGGGACCCCUAUAAUUCGAAUGUUGGUGCAUUUGAUAUUGUCCCACAGGUCUCAGACUAUCCUCAGUUCUUUUCAUUCUUUUUACUUUAUUCUGCUCUUCAGAAAUUAUUUCCACAAUUUUAUCUUCCAGCUCACUGAUUCAUUCUUCUGCUUCAGAUAUUCUAUUGAUUCCUUCCAGAGUAUUUUUAAUUUCAGUAAUUAUAUUGUUUGUCUCUGUAUGUUUAUUCUUUAAUUCUUCUAGGUCUUUGUUAAUUGAUUCUUGCAUUUUCUCCAUUUUGUUUUCAAGGUUUUUGAUCAUCUUUACUAUCAUUAUUCGGAAUUUUUUUUCAGGUAGUUUGCCUAUUUCCUUUUCAUUUAUUGGGACUUCUGUAUUUCUAAUUUGUUCCUUUAUUUGUGUGGUAUUUCUCUGCCUUUUCAUUAUUUUUUUUAAACUUCUUGUGUUUGAGGUCUCCUUUUCCCAGGCUUCAAGGUUGAAUUCUUUAUUCCUUUUGGUUUCUGCCCACCGACUGGUUCCAAAUAGGAAAAGGAGUAUGUCAAGGUUGUAUAUUGUCAUCCUGCUUAUUUAACUUAUAUGCAGAGUACAUCAUGAGAAAUGCUGGGCUGGAGGAAGCACAAGCUGGAAUUAAGAUUGCUGGGAGAAAUAUCAAUAACCUCAGAUAUGCAGAUGACACCACCCUUAUGGCAGAAAGUGAAGAGGAACUAAAAAGCCUCUUGAUGAAAGUGAAAGAGGAGAGUGAAAAAGUUGGCUUAAAGCUUAACAUUCAGAAAACUAAGAUCAUGGCAUCUGGUCCCAUCACCUCAUGGGAAAUAGAUGGGGAGACAGUGGACACAGUGUCAGACUUUAUUUUUCUGGGCUCCAAAAUCACUGCAGAUGGUGACUGCAGCCAUAAAAUUAAAAGACGCUUAGUCCUUGGAAGGAAAGUUAUGAUCAACCUGGAUAGCAUAUUAAAAAGCAGAGACAUUACUUUGCCAACAAAGGUCCAUCUGGUCAAGACUAUGGUUUUUCCAGUGGUCAUGUAUGGAUGUGAGAGUUGGAUUGUGAAGAAAGCUGAGUGCCAAAAAAUUGAUUCUUUUGAACUGUGGUGCUGGAGAAGACUCUUGAGAGUCCCUUGGAUUGCAAGGAGAUCCAACCAACCCAUCCUAAGGGAGAUCAGUCCUGGGUGUUCAUUGGAAGGACUGAUGCUGAAGCUGAAACUCCAGUACUUUGGCCACCUCAUGCGAAGAGUUGACUCAUUGGAAAAGACCCUGAUGCUGGGAAGGAUUGGGGGCAGGAGGAGAAGGGGAUGACAGAGGAUGAGAUGGCUGGAUGGCAUCACCGACUCGAUGGACAUGGGUUUGAGUAAACUCCAGGAGUUGGUGAUGGACAGGGAAGCCUGGCGUGGUGCGAUUCAUGGGGUCGCAAAGAGUUGGACACGACUGAGUGACUGAACUGAACUGAAGUUUAGUCUGGUGGUUUGUGUCUUAAUGCUAUUUUUAAAAGAACUACAUGUUACAAGAAUUGAACUAGAAUUUCCAUUGACUAAAAAACACUUCAUAUUGUGAUUCAUUACUUAAGUUAGCCAUAUUUUAAAGAAUCACUUAUUUGUACUAGAAUUUUUUUCUAUUUUUAAUAGAAUCACAGAUUUUUACUAUGGAAAUAUAUUUCAUAGGUCAUUUUGCUCUAAGCUCUUUAACAAAUGAGAAAAUGACUUGGACAAGGACAUGAAUCAAUGACUGACAGUGUUAGGACCCUAAAUUUCCCAUAUCCUUCCUCUUAGUCAGAGUUCUUUACCCUUCAGCUGUCCCUCUUGUUUCUCUGGAGGCCUUCCCAUUCACUUUGUCCAGAGAAUAAUCCUCAUUUUUCUUGAAGUGAGUUCUCUGGUUCUUUGGAAUACCUGAUGGUUCAAAUAGGAGUGAGGACCUGAGAUUCUCAUUAAACACUUGCAAUUUAUUCUGUUUUCAGUCACAUUCCUUCUCUUGUCUUGUGAGAUUGGUCCUUCUUAUUGUUCAACCUCUCUGAGAGUUUUGGGUCAAUCUGCUUGGAUUUCUCCACUGAAGACUGUUAGCGUUCGACUUCCUGAUGAGGGGUUCAAAUUAUAUUCUAACAGUGAGAAUACCAGCCUCAGUCCUUCUAAUGAAUAUUCAAGGUUGAUUUCCUUUAGGAUUGACUGGUUUCAUCUCCUUGCUGUCCAAGGGACUCUCAAGAGUCUUCUCCAGCACCACAGUUCAAAAGCAUCAAUUCUUCAGCGCUCAGCCUUCUUUAUGGUCCAACUCUCACACCCAUACAUGACUACUGGAAAAACCAUAGCUUUGACUAUAUGGACCAUUGUCAAUAAGGUGACUUCUCUGCUUUUUAAUACAUUGUGUAUGUUUGUCAUAGCUUUUCUUCCAAGGAGCAAGCAUCCUUUAAUUUCAUGCUGCAGUCACCAUCCACAGUGAUUUUGGAGCACAAGUGAAUAAAAUCUGUCACUGCUUCUACUUUUUCCCCAUCUAUUUGUCAUUAAGUGAUGGGACCAGAUGCUGUGAUCUUGGUUUUUGAAUGUUGAGUUUUAAGCAAAUUUUUUCACUCUCCUCUUUCGCCCUCAGGGCUUCCUUGGUAUCUCAUCUGGUAAAGAACCCACCUGCAAUGCGGGAGACCUGGGUUUGAUCCAUGGGUUGGGAAGAUCCCCUGGAGAAUGGAAAGGCUACCCUCUCCAGUAUUCUGGCCUGGAGAAUUCCAUGGACUGUAUAGUCCAUCAGGUCGCAAAGAGAGGGACAGGACUGAGUGACUUUCACUUUCAUUGUCAUCAAGAGACUCUUUAGUUCCUCUUCAUUUUCUUCCAUUAAAGUGGUAUCAUCUGCAUAUCUGAGACUGUUGAUAUCUUUCUUGAUAAUCUUGAUUCCAGCUUGUGAUUCAUCCAGCCCUUCAUUUCUCAUGAUAUACUCUGCAUAUAAGUUAAAUAAGCAGGCUGACAAUAUACAGCCUUGUCAUACUCCUUUCCCAGUUUUUAGCCAGUCCACUGUUCCACCUCUGGUCCUAACUGUUGCUUCUUGACCUAUAAACAUGUUUCUUAGGAUACAGGUAAGGUGGUCUGAUAUUCCCAUCUCUUUAAGAAUUUUCCACAGUUUUUUGUGAUCCACACAAAGACUUUAACAUAGUCAAUGAAGCAGAAGGAAAUGUUUUUCUAGAAUUCCCUUGCUUUUUAUAUGAUCCAGUGGGUGUUGGCAACUUGAUGUCUGGUUCCUCUGCCUUUUCUAAAUCCAGCUUGUACAUCUGGAAGUUCUCAGUUCACAUACUGUUGAAGCCUAGCUUGAAGGAUUUUGAGUAUUACCUUGCUAGCAUGUUAAAUGAGUGCAAUUGUAUGGUAGUUUGGACAUUCUUUGGCAUUGCCUUUCUUUGGGAUUGGAAUGAAAAACUGACUCUUUCCAGUCCUGUGGCCACUGCUGAGUUUUCCAUAUUUGCUAGCAUAUUAAGUGCAGCACUUUUACAGAAUCAUCUUUUAGGAUUUUAAAUAGCUCUGCUGGAAUUCCAUCACCUCCACUAGCCUUGUCAUAGUAAUGCUUACUAAGGCCCCCUUGAAUUCACAGUUGAAGAUGUCUGGCUCUAGGUGAAUGACCACAUCAUUGUGAUUUUCCAGGUCAUUAAGACCAUUUUUUGUAGAGUUCUUCUGUGUAUUUUUGGCACCUCUUCUUAAUCUCUUCUCCUGUUAGGUCCUUGCCAUUUUUGUCCUUUAUAGUGCCCAUCUUUGCAUGAAAAGUUCCAUUGGUGUCCCUAAUUUUCUUGAAGAGAUCUCUAGUCUCCCCCCAUUCUACUGUUUCCUCCAUUUAUUUACACUGUUCAUUAAGAAGGCUUUCUUAUCUCUCCUUGCUAUUCUCUGGAACUCUGCCUUUAGUUGGGUAUAUCUUUCCCUGUUUGCUUUGCCUUUUGCUUCUCUUCUUAGCUAUUUGUAAGGCCUCAACAGAAAACCACUUUGCCUUCUUGCAUUUCUUUUUCUUUGGGAUGGUUUUGGUCACUGCCUCCUGUGCAAUGUUAUGAAUCUCUGUCCAUAGUUCUUCAGGCAUUCUGUCUACCAGGUUUAUCCCUUGAAUCUAUUCAUCACCUCCACUGUAUAAUCAUAAGGGAUUUGAUUUAGGUCGUACCUUCAUGGCCUCAUGCUUUUCCUUACUUCCUUCAACUUAAGUCUCAAUUUUGCAAUAAGGAGCUCAUGAUCUGAGCCACAGUCAGCUUCGAGUCUUGUUUUUGCUGACUUUAUAGAGCUUCUCCAUCUUCAGCUGCACAGAAUAGAAUCAGUCUGAUUUUGGUAUUGACCAUCUGGUGAUGUAUAUGUGUAGAGUCGUCUCUUGUGUUGUUGGAAGAGGGUGUGUGCUAUGACCAGUGCGUUCUCUUGGCAGAACUGUUAGCCCUUGCUGUACUUCUUUCUGUACUCCAAGGCCAAACUUGCCUGUUAAUCCAGUGUCACUUCUACCAUAUUAUUUUGACCAAAACAUUCACAAAAGCCCAUUCAGUUUCAGGGGGUGGGGAUAGAGACCUUGCCUCUCAAUGGGAAGGGUUUCAAAGCUACAUUGUAACAGUAUACAGGAGGAAAGAUGUUGCAGCCAUUUGGGGGCGAUAGAAUCUGGAACACAACUCCUCCAUAUGAUUUUUUCCCUUUUUUUUUUUUUUUGUAUGACCAAGAGUUUUUAAAUUAUGAAAUGCAUCAGUCAUAUAAGAAAA